rnacentral:rRNA from 1 species
AUUGAACGCUGGCGGCAGGCCUAACACAUGCAAGUCGAACGAGUGGCGGACGGGUGAGUAAUGUCUGGGAAACUGCCUGAUGGCUGGGGAUAACUCCUGGAAACGGUAGCUAAUACCGCAUACCAUCAGAUGUGCCCAGAUGGGCUGAGCUUGUUGGUGGGGUAACGGCUCACCACGGCGACGAUCCCUAGCUGGUCUGAGAGGAUGACCAGCCACAUGGGAACUGAGACACGUGCCAGACUCCUACGGGAGGUAGCAGGGGGUAAUAUUGCACAAUGGGCGCAAGCCUGAUGCAGCCAUGCCGCGUGUAUGAAGAAGGCCUUCGGGUUGUAAAGUACUUUCAGCGGGGAGGCGUUACCCGCAGAAGAAGCACCGGCUAACUCCGUGCCAGCAGCCGCGGUAAUAC